rnacentral:lncRNA from 1 species
CUCUAACUCUAUUGAAAUAUAUCCCUUUCCGAACCCAUUGUAUAAAAAAAAUUUAAUCAACGUGUGGUUGCCGGUGAUCUCAGAAGAUGAUUGGCUGAGUCAAAGGGUCAUAACCUUUCUCAGCUCCCUGAAAUGAUCAAAAUGUUCUAACAGGUGUUAAUGAAAUUGACAACUUCGUGGAAAGUGGAAGGCACUCGAAGGGGAUUUUGGUUUAGAAAAAAGGAAAUUUAUCUUUUAAUCAUUAGAGAAACAGAUUAUUACAUAGUAACGCGUGGAUUAUCAUAUUUAUCCAAUCU